rnacentral:rRNA from 1 species
AAACUAAACAGGAUUCCCUCAGUAAUGGCGAAUGAACAGGGAAAAGCCCAACCUGGAAAUUGGGGCCUACGGCCCUGAGUUGUAACAUCAAGGUGCUCUGCUAGCGUUGGCGCAGGCGUAAGUCCUCUGGAAAGGGGCACCGACGAGGGUGAGAGUCCCGCGCGUCGUCUGCAGCCCUUCGCGUACGGCAAGCAUUCCACGAGUCACGCUCCUUGGGAUUGGAGUGCAAAUUGGGUGGUAGAUUUCAUCCAAGGCUGAAUAUAAGUUUGAGACCGAUAGCAAACAAGUACCAUGAGGGAAAGAUGAAAAGGACUUUGGAAAGAGAGUUAAAAUUGCCUGAAAUCGAUGAGAGGGAAGCGGGUGGGUCCAGCCCCACUUGGCAAGAUUGCGGCGUCUCAGGGCGAUGGCGCGCGUGAACAGCGGUAAAACGCGUUACCCGUGCGUCUUCUGUGAACCCAAAGGUCGUCGUGCUUCUUGCCUCGGACGUCAGCGGAGACCAUACGGGGGGCAUUACGGUCUGGACAUGCACAUGGCCUGCCUGAGGGUGGGAGAACGUGCGGACUCGGACUCCCUGUCUGGCUUCUCUCCUAGCGGCGCGACAGACGCGCCCGCGGCGAAAUGCU